rnacentral:rRNA from 1 species
ACUAGCUACGUGGAGGCAUCCCUUCACGGCCGGCUUCUUAGAGGAAACUCUGGUGGUGGCCCGCAGCGAUACUGAUGUGCAAAUCGUUCGUCUUACUUGGGUAUAGGGGCGAAAGACUAAUCGAACCAUCUAGUAGCUGG